CGGAAUUACUGGGCGUAAAGCGAGCGCAGGCGGUUAUUUAAGUCAGGUGUGAAAGCCCCGAGCUCAACUUGGGACGUGCAUUUGAAACUGGGUAACUAGAGUGUGUCAGAGGGGGGUAGAAUUCCACGUGUAGCAGUGAAAUGCGUAGAGAUGUGGAGGAAUACCGAUGGCGAAGGCAGCCCCCUGGGAUAACACUGACGCUCAUGCUCGAAAGCGUGGGUAGCAAACAGGAUUAGAUACCCUGGUAGUCCACGCCCUAAACGAUGACAAUUAGCUGUUGGGAGAUUAAAAGCUCUUGGUAGCGUAGCUAACGCGUGAAAUUGUCCGCCUGGGGAGUACGGUCGCAAGAUUAAAACUCAAAGGAAUUGACGGGGACCCGCACAAGCGGUGGAUGAUGUGGAUUAAUUCGAUGCAACGCGAAGAACCUUACCUGGUCUUGACAUGUACGGAAUCCUCCAGAGACGGAGGAGUGCCUUCGGGAACCGUAACACAGGUGCUGCAUGGCUGUCGUCAGCUCGUGUCGUGAGAUGUUGGGUUAAGUCCCGCAACGAGCGCAACCCUUGUCAUUAGUUGCUACCAUUCAGUUGAGCACUCUAAUGAGACUGCCGGUGACAAACCGGAGGAAGGUGGGGAUGACGUCAAGUCCUCAUGGCCCUUAUGACCAGGGCUUCACACGUCAUACAAUGGUCGGUACAGAGGGUAGCCAAGC
rnacentral:rRNA from 1 species